GACUCGGUAGCGGAAGGUCCGCACCGCAGCGCGCAUGGGUGGAUGACUUAUUUGACGCUUCAUGUGGUGGUCGCCUGUUCGAUUCAGGCUCGAGUCA